rnacentral:rRNA from 1 species
UUACGGCCAUAUCAUGUUGAAACACUGGUUCUCAUACAAUCACCAAAGUUAAGCAACAACAAGCCUGGUCAGUACCUAGAUGGAUGACCACUUGGAAAUGUCAGGUGCUGUAAG